rnacentral:rRNA from 1 species
AGCCUGACCCAGCCAUGCCGCGUGCAGGAAGACGGUCCUAUGGAUUGUAAACUGCUUUUAUACGGGAAGAAACACUCCCUCGUGAGGGAGCUUGACGGUACCGUAAGAAUAAGGAUCGGCUAACUCCGUGCCAGCAGCCGCGGUAAUACGGAGGAUCCAAGCGUUAUCCGGAAUCAUUGGGUUUAAAGGGUCCGUAGGCGGCCUUAUAAGUCAGUGGUGAAAUCUCCCAGCUCAACUGGAAAACUGCCUUUGAUACUGUACGGCUUGAAUUUUUUGGAAGUAACUAGAAUAUGUAGUGUAGCGGAGAAAUGCUUAGAUAUUACAUGGAAUACCAAUUGCGAAGGCAGGUUACUACUAAGUGAUUGACGCUGAUGGACGAAAGCGUGGGGAGCGAACAGGAUUAGAUACCCUGGUAGUCCACGCCGUAAACGAUGGAUACUAGCUGUUCGGAGCAAUCUGAGUGGCUAAGCGAAAGUGAUAAGUAUCCCACCUGGGGAGUACGAACGCAAGUUUGAAACUCAAAGGAAUUGACGGGGG